GUGGAGCCAAAAAUAUUCACUAGGCGACACGUGGACUUUGGACAAAAGAGGACAAAAAUACCCUCGAGGCAUACCGGUUUUCCUACACGCAAGCAGUGGAGAAUCAUCCAUCAACCAAGUCAGGAGUACCCAAAAUGGGUAACAAUUCAAAACCUAUUUUAUUUCAUAUAUGUUUUUACCUCAUUUUUUCCUUAUUCAAUUAGCCAUUUAUUCAAACAUUCCAUAACAUCCUCAACCAAUUAAUAUAUUUACCUAAAUAAUAUAUUAAUUGUUAAUUGAAAGUCAUCCAUUUAACCCCAAAACUCCCAAAUGGUCGGCCAUCCUAGUGGAUCUCUCCAUAUUUGCCCAUUUCAUCCCACUAAUUAGCUAAUUAAUUUGGCAAUAAUUCUAUUUAGCCAAAUUAAUUAGUCAAUUAACUAUAUAACUCCUAAAAUUACCAUCAAUCAUGAACAAAAACCCAAAAAACCCUAGCCACCUCCUAUCCCUAUAAAUAUACUUUCAUUCUCACCAAAAAAGCUAAUUCCAACACUUUGGCAAAAAUCCCAAAAUUCUCUAAACACUCUUUCUCUCUAAAUUCUAACUUUGGCAUCGGAGGUUCUUCGGCCAAAGCCCCCCCCAUUCAUCGUGGGCGCGUGAGGCUUUUGGCCUUAACCUAAGGUGCUAGUUGUUUUGUAGGUGCAAAAUCGUCCAAGAUCGAAGAGGAGAAAAUUUGCAUCCACAAAUUGGUGCUUUCAUUGAGAGUUGAAAUCCAUACUCGUAGAAGACUCUCGCACAAAAAGGUUUUUUUCUUUAUUUUCUAGUCCAUUUGAAUAUUUUUCAUACGUUCUUAUUAUUAGAAUUUUUUACUUGCAAAGGUUCUUUGAUAAAACGUAUAAGCAAAAAUAUAAUGGCUAGAAAUUUAGAAAAUUCCACAAGUGAAAAUUCUAAUGUUCAAGAAAUGGGAUUGCGGAGAUCCGUGAGGCUAAAUGCGACAAUAAGGGGAGCGACAUCAUCAUCACGAGCUUCCACCAUGGGAACCACCGUGGUGGCUACCUCGGUAGCCACCCGCGGCAAGGUCCAUGGUGCCUUCACCACGGCCACCAUGGGAACCACCGCGGUGGCUACUUCGGUAGCCACUCGUGGCGAGGUCCAUGGAGCCUUCACCAUGGCUCGGAGAUCCGUGAGGCAAAAUGCAACAAUAAGGGGAGCGGCAUCACCACCACGAGUUUCCACCAUGGGAACCACCGCGGUGGCUACCUCGGUAGCCACCCACGGCGAGGUCCAUGGUGCCUUCACCACGGCCACCAUGGGAACCACCGCGGUGGCUACUUCGGUAGCCACUUGUGGCGAGGUCCAUGGAGCCUUCACCACGGCCCGAGCCGUGCCAUCCAAGGCUCACGGUACCAAGACCACGAUCCAAGCCGUGCCAUCCAAGUUUACGUGGACCCAAGCCCAAGCCUCGCAUUCACAUGCACCGCGCAUUGAGCAACCUGCUUCCGUGAUCCAGCCUGCUCCCGUCAAGCAACCCACUCUCACGGCCCAACCUACUCCUGCCGAGCAGCCUGCUCUUGUGACCUAGCCUGCUCCCGACGAGCAGCCCACUCCCGUGGCCCAGCCUGCUUUCGUUGAGCAGCCUACUCCGGUGGCCCAGCCUGUUCCUACCAAGCAGCCCACUCCCAUGGCCCAGCCUGCUUUCGUCGAGCAGCUCAUUCCGGUGGCCCAGCCUGCUCCUGCCAAGCAGCCCACUCCCGUGGCCCAGCCUGCUCCUGCCAAGCAGCCUGCUCUCGUGACCCAGCCUGCUCCCGACGAGCAACCCACUCCCGUGGUCCAGCCUGCUUCUUUCGAGCAGCCCACUACGGCCCAGCAUGCUCCCGUGGCUUUCCAAGCAACCCAAGUCGGCCCAAGACUAUCUCAACCAUCCGGACCUACCAUCGAGCCGGGGGCAUUCUCACCAUAUUUUUUCGUGGAUUUGACAUUUCCCAACUCAAAUCUCGUGCCCGGAGUCUACCACCCUUCCACUGCUCAAGGAGGCGCUUUCCUUCCAAGCUCUUCCAAUCCAAAUGGCAAACAACACUUGUCUCGACAAGUCAUAGAGUUGACGAGCGCCCUUGCACAACAGACAACCUUGGUGAAUCAACUUUUGCAACGCAUCGGGAUCCAACGUGCCCCGGACGAGGUAUCCCGAAGUAGGACAAGGGCAGACGGACAUUUCCAGCAGCGUCCCGGCAAGCAGCCACUCGGCCAGCCACGAGCCGAACGUUUGGGCAGUGUACAUUCCCGUCUUAGAGCGCGAAGGAACGUUCACUCUCGACUAGGCCCACGGAGGAGCAUACAUUCACGGUUGGGGUCAUACUCCGAUAGUCAACAUGAGCAACCUUCCGGGCAAAGUGUCUAUUCGCAGCUAAGCCCACAAGGAGCGUCCUCCACCUCACAUCAGAGUAGGCAGCACGACGGACGGAGAGAAGCAGUCACUCAAUCCAGCUCAAGUUCAACCAGCAGCCUCCGAAGAACUCGCUCGCCUGCUAGGAACGCACCACAUGCACCGCAUCUGCGGCAUAGACGAGCCAAACACAUGAAAGAGCAGCCUUGACCAGCAAGUCAUGGCUGGGGGCAGCCGAGAGCUCCGCUACCCCAACAAAGGCAAAUUCAGGAAGAAGUAGAGAGACUCUUGACCAAGCGAUUGCAUGAUUUCCAACGCAACGAGGUCACCGACGAGGCACUACGACGGAACAUGACCAACAUAAGCAGGUCACCAUUCACGGACGAGAUCGAGCAGGCAGAGCCUCCACGAGAGUUCAGCAUGCCACAUUUCACAUCUUUCAAAGGGGAUGAAGACCCGGAGAGACACUUAAAGCGCUACCGAAGCGCAAUGAUCCUUUAUCGAAACAACGAUGAGCUCAUGUGCAAGAUAUUUGCCACCACUCUACAAGGCGAGGCGCAAGAUUGGUUCUACACCCUGCCGCCACAAUCUAUCCGGAAUUUCUACGAACUUUCUUUGGUUUUCACCAAAGAAUAUUCAUCCUAUCGCUCGAUCAAAAAGAAGUCUGAUCAUUUGUUCAAUGUCAAGAAGAACCCAAAAGAGUCGCUUCGCGACUAUGUGAGGAGGUUCAAAGUAGAGAAGGCAAAAAUAGUCGGAUGCAACGACUCGAUAGCUAGAGCAGCCUUCCAAAAAGGACUUCCAGCAGACCACCCGCUAUUCGGAAAAUUGAUCAUGAAAGAAGAUCUAACUCUAGCAGACUCUUUUGCUUUGGCAGAGAAGUAUGCACUUUGGGAUGAGGCUCGCCAAUGCACAUUCAAGGACUUGAAGAAGUACCCGACAUCACCUCCCUAGAAGCAGCAGAGGACUUAUUCACAUGUUUGACGGUAUCUAAAGUAGCAAUAAGCUCUACCAUCAUGCAAGAGGAGAUGAGGGCCCGACUACCUGUAUUCCACAGUUACCUGUAUUCUACAGUUCAAAAGCUCUCCUCGAUGUUAUUAAAAAUUCAAAAGCUAACUUUGGCGAUAGUUGUUGCAACCCAGAAGCACAAGUUUUACUUUCAAACGCAUGCAAUCAUCCUCAUGACGUACUAUUCUGCCCAAUCCAGACGCGCGACGAUAAAGGCGUAGACCUUGGCGGAUGUAAAGUUUUCUGACGAACGCAACAUUGGAAGGACACACUCGAAAGCAAGUUUUGUCCUCAUCACCCUAAAAGAUUCUACAUAGGAGCAACAUGUACCGGCAGUUGAGUACCAUUUCUUGCUGCGCAUCACACGGCCCUAGCCGACCCUUGCUCAAUGAUUCAACUCUAGAGUGGCCCAAUACCGGCAGUUGAGCAUCUCCUGUUGCGUAUGACAUGGCCCCAUCUCCACAGCUCCCUACUGCGCCUUCACGCCGAGCCUAGGUGACGCAAUAGAGCGGCCCAACGAUGCCUCAGAAGUAGCCGAGCACACUCUAGCUGCGCCUACUCCACCCGAUGGAGACUUUUGGCAUUUGCAUGUCGACGGCGCAGAAAAGCCUUCAUCACUGCCGGCAGAGAAGGCUCCAAAAAGAUGGAUCCCAUCUGGGAAGGUUCGUACAAGAUCAGCAGAGUAUGGGGCAAGAGUAAUUACACCUUCACCACCAUGAAGCGGCAAAAAGAUUGAAAAAAAAAAUGGAUGGCCUACAGUCUGAAGAAGUACCAUGUGUGACCUCCCGCUACAUCAAAACCCGAAGACUCAAUAAGCUCGACGGGCACCACCUCACAAGCUGAGGACUAUCCAGUUGUUAUGCAGUUCCUACCUUACAGCUAAAGUUCUCGUUCGUUUCACUCAUUUUUCAAUGAGGAAUUUAGAAGUAAUCACAACUUGGCUUGGCUGCAUGCUUACAACAACUAAUCACUCUUGCACUUCAAAAGAAGACUGCACCCUUCUUAGGUACUCAUCGCAGGAAUUGCGCCCCCCGAGGGACCAACCAUGCUCUCUAGUGCGAGAGGGUAAACCAAUUCUCCGACACCCAUAUGGGUCAGCUCUCCAAGACGGGAGGAUAAACUUUACACUCCGAAUAUCCAGACGUGGAUGAGCCUGGUUGCCCUAGUAUAACUAGAUGCGCGAUGGCUUGCGCCGGGAUUCCUAGAAGUAGCCGCAAUGGUCUUUUUCAAGGCUUAGCUAACUGAAGGAUUUUGGGUCUCUUGGCCUAAUCCGUGGGGAACCGGGCCCUAGAGACGGAAAGGGCACAUUACGCAGUACAUCCGAUGGACGGCUGCCCUGGAAUCCUAAAGCUGCUACCGAGUGCACUAAGAUAGCCUACGGAUUCCGGAAGACUGCCUACGGCUUGCCCUUCGAGCAGUGAAGUCGCACUAGACUUAUACAACCGCACAUUCUUGUGAAAGGUUAAACAAGCUAGCGCGCAUAUACGAAGUUUUAUCCACUGCCGACAUGCUACGUAGUCGAUAAGCUUCACCUCUGCCAAGCGCGGAACAACCUACACCAAGUCCUAAAGUGUUGUGAUACUUGCUACGCAACCUACGGAAUUGAAGAAAGUCAAGGUUAACAGCCUAGUGGUUACGCGGACUUGUCUGCUUCUGUAAGUAAGGCAUCCGGCUGCCAACCCUAUGGCUAACAACUUUGCAAAGUUCUACACGAACACUUACGGCUACAUAGGCUACGCGAGUUUGUCUGCUUAUAAAAAAGUAGCAUGCCUGCCACUGGUCUAUCAAGUCUAAAGGUUAGGGCAUGAACAAAAGAAGUGAAGAUGAAGAAAAACGAAGGAAAACAUGUUUAUAAACAACUAGCAAAGGCUGAAGGACUACAAGGAAAAACAAAGAAAAUCCUAAAGGCUAUCUAAAAUACUACACUACAGCAGCUUGGACAUCCCACGACUACUCGGUCGCUACACCUUCAAUAGCCAUAACGCUCUUAGCAGCGGCAUCAUCCGGCGCUUCACCCCCGGCUGCCCCAGUCUGGGCACUAACUUCUCCAACUACUUCACCAAUGGAAGCCUUAAAUGUAAAAGCAAGCAAGUCUUCCGGAGAAAUAGAGAAGCUCAUCCACUCCAUUCUUAGCAUAAGCAGCAAAACGAAACUCAGAAAUUGCAAGCUUAAGAUCUUAAAUCUGAGGUGAAUCAAUCUCAGCAGCAAAGGGAGCAGGCUUUGGCGCCACUUUAGCAGUAGAGUCCAUCUUACCACUCUUCAUAAUAGCAAGUCUCUACAAAGGUGAACCGGACUUGGCUCCCAAAGAACGUCCUGGUACAGACUUCGGCACUGGGGGCAUGAUAAAACCUUUACGCUAAGUAAUCUUAUCCACAAUUGUACUAGCCAUUCUCAACAUGGAAGACGCCACAUGCUCAAAUCUAGCAGCUUUAUUUUUCUUCCCAUUGGAAGAAGUCAUGUCAAUCACAUACCUCUCGGUAGCAAGCAGACCCUCAUGAGCAGCAGAAGAAGUCUUCAGUUUUUUCUUAACUGGCAUCUCAUGAGCAGGCGGGGAAGAUCUCUUCUUUCCAUCUUCAUUCAUAGUAAGCUCCACGACAGCAAUCAGACGAGCCAAUGCAUCCGCCUUGAUCCUCUUUACCUCCUCUUUCUGGAGCAGCCCACCUUUCUUUCAGCAAAGAGGACUAAGCAGCCAACGACAUUCAUGGUACUUAGCAGGGGAGCUCAACCCAGCAUUCCAACAGGCAGGAGGCCUGCAUGCCCAACAUUCCAGCAGCCCAUGAGACCCGCAAUCUCCUUAUCUCUCUCAAUCGCCAGCCUGGCCCGAGUCAGGUCCAAGAGCCCAAAGGACAUGAGCCAUGCGGCUCGCCUAGCACUGCGCCCCAUCGCCACAAUCCUCGACCUCAGCUGCAUAAGCUGCCCUUGGCUCAAGCCAAGCCAAGCUACCCAAGCAGUGGUCCCUGCCACGACAUCUCCUCAACCCAUACCGAGCCAGCUCCUGGCCCCUGUCAGCCGACGUGCCGCACCACCCCGACGGAUACCCCGCAAUAGCACUAUCCAAGAAUAAGGCAAGAAAAAUUAAAUUUUUCUUACAUUGGUGCGGCACGAAGAAGACGAAUAAAUCAACGAAAGACGGUCCUUUGCACGGGCAAGAUGUAGAAGAUUGCUAGAGGAGGGGGAACAAAUAUCCUCUAACUUUCUCUCUCUUGUAGGGUAGAAUAAAUCGCUCUCCAAAGUUGAUUUAAUAACCCACUUAAGGUGGACUUAAAUAGGCUUUGAGAGAAAUUUAUUUCCUUUUCCUAGAAGGAUCUAAUUUCCUCUUAAAGAGAGAAUCAACAUCAAAAUAGGAAGCAGUCUUAAGUUUCCUAAAGCAAGAAGAUCUCUACACCUGAUGCCCUUUUCUGCGAGCAGCCCAACAGGUGUGGGGGCAUUUGUGGAGCCAAAAAUAUUCACUAGGCGACACGUGGACUUUGGACAAAAGAGGACAAAAAUACCCUCGAGGCAUACCGGUUUUCCUACACGCAAGCAGUGGAGAAUCAUCCAUCAACCAAGUCAGGACUACCCAAAAUGGGUAACAAUUCAAAACCUAUUUUAUUCCAUAUAUGUUUUUACCUCAUUUUUUCCUUAUUCAAUUAGCCAUUUAUUCAAACAUUCCAUAACAUCCUCAACCAAUUAAUAUAUUUACCUAAAUAAUAUAUUAAUUGUUAAUUGAAAGUCAUCCAUUUAACCCCAAAACUCCCAAAUGGCCGGCCAUCCUAGUGGAUCUCUCCAUAUUUGCCCAUUUCAUCCCACUAAUUAGCUAAUUAAUUUGGCAAUAAUUCUAUUUAGCCAAAUUAAUUAGUCAAUUAACUAUAUAACUCCUAAAAUUACCAUCAAUCAUGAACAAAAACCCAAAAAACCCUAGCCACCUCCUAUCCCUAUAAAUAUACUUUCAUUCUCACCAAAAAAGCUAAUUCCAACACUUUGGCAAAAAUCCCAAAAUUCUCUAAACACUCUUUCUCUCUAAAUUCUAACUUUGGCAUCGGAGGUUCUUCGGCCAAA
rnacentral:lncRNA from 1 species